UACAGAGGGUGCAAGCGUUAAUCGGAAUUACUGGGCGUAAAGCGUGCGUAGACGGUUAUUUAAGUCGGGUGUGAAAGCCCCGGGCUCAACCUGGGAAUUGCAUUCGAGACUGGAUAGCUAGGGUGCGGAAGAGGGAAGCGGAAUUUCCGGUGUAGCGGUGAAAUGCGUAGAUAUCGGAAGGAACACCAGUGGCGAAAGCGGCCUCCUGGUCCAGCACCGACGUUCAGGCACGAAAGCGUGGGGAGCAAACAGG
rnacentral:rRNA from 1 species